rnacentral:rRNA from 1 species
AGCGAACGCUGGCGGCAGGCCUAACACAUGCAAGUCGAGCGCCCGUAGCAAUACGGGAGCGGCAGACGGGAGAGUAACACGUGGGAACGUGCCCUUCGGUUCGGAAUAACUCAGGGAAACUUGAGCUAAUACCGGAUACGCCCUUACGGGUAAAGGAUUUAUUGUCCGAGGGAGCGGCCCGCCGUCCGAUUAGCUAGUUGGUGAGGUAACGGCUCACCAAGGCGACGAUCGGUAGCUGGCUUGAGAGGA